rnacentral:rRNA from 1 species
GCUAACUGCCAUACCACCCUGAAUGCUCCCGAUCUCGUCUGAUCUCGGAAGCUAAGCAGGUUUAGGCCUGGUUAGUACUUGGAUGGGA